GGGAUCGCUACAUAUCUCAUUACCUGUAUCAUAGCCCUGAGAAAUACCUCUGGAACUAAAGCAGUCCCCAGACUAGUUGUCAAGAUCAUAGGCAGCAAACAGGUCAAGUAUUUCAUCACAGAAGAGACAGACAAGGUGAAUGGAGCAGCUAUUCCUCUGGCGGUUGUGGGUAAUGUGAUGAAGGAACCACCAGACAAACAGGACUCUAUAGUGGCCAGAUCACACAGACAAGCUGAGGCUGAGGGGGGUGUGGGGUCAGCUUUUCAGGCUACGCUCCACAAGGCAGUUAACCCACUGUUCCCCGGGCACCGAAGACGUGGAUGUCGAAGAACAGGAAGACUGUCUCUCAUUGGCCAUCAGUGAGCAGCUGGCUGACUGGCAGGCUUCUUCACCCCUGAGGACCAUUCAGGAGGAAGUUGUUGCAAUUGAACCUGCCCUCAAAGGGACCAUCAGCCAAUCACAGAUCACUCAGGCGUUUCUGAGACACGAGGUUCCACUGGGAUUAACAACGUUCCGUCAGCUCCUCCUAAUGUUCUGUGAUGCUGACCAUCCAGCUCAGGCAGAGUUUGGGCAUGUGUCUCACACGAGGAGUCCCCAGGGGUUGCACUGAGCCCCCACCAGCUUCUGUGGAUCCCAUGGAAACAGAAAGAUGGCUCCAAGGGUUCCAGAGAAUGGAGAGAGCCAUGCACAUAUGUGACAGCCAGAACACUGGUACAGUUUUAAAAGUUGAUUUGUCAAAAUAAAUCAUAAUGGGCUGUUUUACCUGAAAUAUAGGGAACUAAUGUACUAAAUGCAAAACUUUUUUUUUUAAAUCACUGAUAUAAUUCUGAUGAUAUAGAUUUUCUUACUAAAUGAAUUGGGGAUAUUAUUUGAUGUACAGUAAACAUUAAUUUCAAAGAGACAUCAGCACUAAUGAACUACACUACCAGUAUAUGACAGAAUUUGACAUCUGUCUGCCAUUUCAGGUUACAUAGACCAGGACAAAGCCAGACGUCUGAUUCAGAACUACAACCACAUGUUCAACCUGAACCUGAGUCCCCUGGGGAUCAGUGAGGUCACCCAUGGUCAUGGAGGGAGAAGACAGGGCAAUGUCCACCUGGACACAGCCCUACAGUACCUAAAGGAACUGUGAUGAAGGUGUUUGGUGAGGACUGUUUUAUGUAUGUAAGUAAAUAUUGGCAUUAUCUUUGUAGUAGCUACUAUGUAAUGUGAGUCUUGUUUAGAAAGCAACAUUUGGGCAGAUAAGGCUUAUUACAUGUAAAAUAUUUUACAAAUAAAAAUGUAAUGAUAAUGCUGUAAAACACUAUCUUAAAUUUAAACCAUUAACUUAGUUAAUACCAUUGGUGUUUAAUAUGAGGGUUUCAGCAUGAAAUGUAUUUUAUGUUUUUGUUUUACAAUGUUAAUAUGUUUUGAUGUUAAACUGGUGGCAGUUGUGAAAAAGUAAAUAGUUGGAAGAGUUGCAGAGUUAAUUGAAAAUAAUUCCAUUGUUGAUUAGAUGCUUUUUUCCCCCCUUAUGAUUCAUUAUGAUAUGAUCAGAGUGAGCAGAGACAGACCCUCCUUCAACCCUGUCCACACCUAAAUAGAAGAGGCUAUUUCAGCCACUCAUGGAGGACAAAGCUGAUUUUAAAAUAAAUAUUUGUUUUGAAAAACCAAUUUGUUUCAGCAUGUAGCCUUCAUCUGGAUUUUAUAGACAGAAGAGGUCAUUUGGGACAUACUGUAGAACAAAAGGGGCUUUUCGUCAACACCUCCUAUGGCUCUCCCCCAGUCAGGCUCCACAGCAGGUCAGGGGCUACCAGGACAGUCAGUAUAGCCAGGGCUAACAGCCACAGCAUCAGUCUCACCAGAUUCAGCACACACCACUGGGCCCACCGACGCAUUGUAUCUGGAUAGAAUAGGUCCUAAGGGUGGUCAAUAUAGUGGCAUCAAUACAAUGAUCCUAUUGAAUUAUUCUGAUUCUAUGUGGAAUUCUCUGUGCAUCAAUGUCAGUAUAAUUUGGAGUGAAAACAGAGAAAAUGAAGGUGUUAUGAUUAGUGUCUUAUCUUUUGUCCACUCACCUUGCAAUCUUGACAUAAAACUGUGCCUGAUGUUUAUGUUGUUGUGAUUUUCCAAACAUUGUGCUCUAGAAUUCAGAGGUGAUUUAGAACAGGUCAGCGGCACUUCCAGUUAUGAGAUGGGAAAAUAACAAUUAUGAAAGCUGUACAAUUUGUAUGGAUUAACGCAAAGACAUUUAAAACCUAGGCUAGCCGACUGCUUGAAAUCAUACUAUCUUUCGGGGAAGGUGUAUUGCUGUUAAGAAUGUCAAUAAACCACUCCCAUGAAGCGAUGGACAACAAGGAUGCAUUUGAUUGUUUCAUUUCUGUGAAACCGAAAGUAAAAUAUCGACUUGAGGAGAGCAACUGAAAAACUGUUUGGUAAGUUUUAUUCUACAAUUACGUUAAGUAUUCGUACCUGUUGUAUCUUGUUUUAUAUGUUGCAGCUUUUAAAUAUUUAGUUAUAACUUUAAUAAAUAGCAAACGAAGAAUGAGCCAGUGCUCGAGAGCCUAUGCCUGUAAAGUUGUCUGCCUAGUGACGACAGGUAGCUCAGUAAACACCUGAGUUUUGAACUUCAUUGAACAUAACCUCAUUAUUGUACUACAGUAGCCGUAAAUGCCUGAGGUUUGAACAUCAUUGAACAUAACUACGGUGUUGUACUACAACAGAUAUUCAUUGUUGAA
rnacentral:lncRNA from 8 species